AUACGUAGGUGACAAGCGUUAUCCGGAUUUACUGGGCGUAAAGGGCGUGUAGGCGGUCUUGCAAGUCAGAAGUGAAAUUCCUGAGCUCAACUCGGGCGCUGCUUCUGAAACUGCAGGACUUGAGUGCUGGAGGGGAUAGCGGAAUUCCUAGUGGAGCGGUAAAAUGCGCAGAUAUUAGGAAGAACACCGGUGGCGAAGGCGGCUAUCUGGACAGUAACUGACGCUGAGGCGCGAAAGCUUGGGGAGCAAAAAGGAUUAGAUCCCCUGGUAGUCCACGCCGUAAACGAUGAAUACUAGGUGUAGGGGGUAUCGACUCCCUCUGUGCCGCAGUUAACACAAUAAGUAUUCCGCCUGGGGAGUACGGCCGCAAGGUUGAAACUCAAAUGAAUUGACGGGG
rnacentral:rRNA from 1 species